CCACAGGAGGAUGUACCUGCGGGUGAGGGCCUGACUGGUCCUAGGCUAGGUGUGCAGCCCAGUCCGCAGGUGCUGCCUGCUGAGCCCCGCCGGGCUGUGGGCCCCACUGAAAGAAACCAGGGUCUAGAAGCUGGAGAGCUCCUUACUCAGUGAAAGUGAGAAAUUCCCAGUCAGGUCUCCUGAGCGCAGAGGUGGAUAAAAGCCUCCGGAGAAGAGUGAGAGAAAAACUGGCUCUCCACUGCCUUAGUGAACAGGAGAGGUUGAAGGAGGUGCUUGCCAGGGAAUAGAAGGGUUUAAGUGUAGCGUCCUCUGCCCACCAAUUGCUUCCUGAAGGGAUCAGAGGAAGAAGGCUGUUUCCAGAUCUCCCUGGGAAAGGGUUCAAUGGCACCUUCUCCUCUAAAGGACAAAGAGAACAGAUCGCUGCUGUGGACCUACUGUGGAAGUGACUUUGCUGCCUACUGAAAGCCAAACAACACCUUGGGCUCCAGGGGGAAGCCCAGUUCCCCCAAACACAAGAAGUGGGACCUCCUACAAGUCUUUGGAUCUCAGUGUUUGUCUGUCUGGGUGUUCCCCGCCUGCAGAAUGGCCAUCACAGGGAAAGUGCUUGCCCCCUGGGGUUUCUCUCCUCGCUGAACUGUCCUAGGGGGAAACUCUCAGGACAGUUCAUCUUGGUGAGGAUUUUCCUCUCCAAUAGACUGCAUUUUAUAACUAAACCUAUUUCUCUAGUGGGGAAAAGGAACUAAGGAGAGUGGGAUAUCUGAUCGACGAUUUGACAGUCUGAUCCCAAGGCCAAGAGGUUCAAGAACGAAUUCUGCAAGGAGGCUUCCAAGACCCAAUGACUGGGUGAUAAAUUCACCCCUACACUCGGUGUGGAAAUGGGGGACGCUCUCCUGGGCAGGUAUCCCGAGGCUCACCUGGGUGGAGCUCAUCCUGUCUCCAGUUCAGGAACAACUUUGAGAAAUCCAAAAUCCCAAAAUCUUUUGGGUGGAACUCUGUAGCGCACAGAAGCGGGAGAGACUUCUCCCGUCUUGGAGGGGCCGUCAAGGUCUGCAUCGAUUGUAUUGACCUCGGGGUGGGCUGGCUUGUCUCCUUUAUCGAUCACAUGAACGAAGUCUGGGACAAAAUAUAGGCGAAAGGAAAUCAUCGCAGGCGUCUUUGCAAAGCUGGUGGAAAGUGGCCCAGCCCGCCGGGAGCACCCGCGGGUGAUCGGAGAGGUUUCACCCCCGCGCAUCGCAUGGAGCUUCUCUUCCCAUCCUGCCUCAUUAUGUCUCUGAUCUUUUUUUUUUUUAAAGUUAUGUCCUAUUCAAAAAGAAAUUAAACAAGAAUUAGUUUAUUCAAUCAGCAAACAUUUGAUGAUCACAAAACACGUCCCAGAGACUGAGCUGAAUUUUGGGGAUACUAAUGGAGGGAGGGAUCUGUACAGCAGAAACCCUGUGGGGGAGGGGCGAAUUCUUUUGUAGUCAUUUCUUAAAGAUGUGACUUGGAGAGACACUCCUUAGCUCUCUAGCCCAUAGUUUUCAGUGAAAGAAGAGCUGCAUUACUGCCUAUUGGUAGGCAAAGAGGUUAGAUCCUUUGAGCUCAGAACCCAGACAGGCAGAUCCAAGACAGUCCUUUGAGAAACCCAUGGUUGGGAUUAGACUUUGAUCAUUCCUGGUGCCUGGGUAGACCCGGCCCUUCAUGUCAGGGAUGUCCUCAAGAUUUUCAAAACUCUCAAAUGCUGUCUCUUCUGGAGAGUGGGAACCACUCAGCACAACCUCCACAAACAGCCGUGGAGAGCUGGCCAAUUUAGCUCUGCCUUUCUGCUCUAAGACCUUGAAACAACCUCCCAGCUCCCCACCCUUUCUGGAUGGACCUCAAUCUAACCCAUCUUCAAAAGAGGAAUAGUAUGGUAAACAAAACUCAAAACAGCAAGCAUCGAGCUUGAGCUUGUAUUCACCUUGAGUUUCCAGCCCUUCCAAAGAUACCUGGCUCCCAGAAUCCUCUUAAUAAAUAUCUGUGGCAUGA